rnacentral:rRNA from 1 species
CCUACGGGUGGCAGCAGUGAGGAAUAUUGGUCAAUGGGCGCGAGCCUGAACCAGCCAAGUCGCGUGAGGGAUGACGACCCUACGGAUUGUAAACCUCUUUUGUCGGGGAGCAAAAGACGCCACGCGUGGCGCUCCGAGAGUACCCGAAGAAAAAGCAUCGGCUAACUCCGUGCCAGCAGCCGCGGUAAUACGGAGGAUGCGAGCGUUAUCCGGAUUUAUUGGGUUUAAAGGGUGCGCAGGCGGAAGAUCAAGUCAGCGGUAAAAUUGAGAGGCUCAACCUCUUCGAGCCGUUGAAACUGGUGUUCUUGAGUGAGCGAGAAGUAGGCGGAAUGUGUGGUGUAGCGGUGAAAUGCAUAGAUAUCACGCAGAACUCCGAUUGCGAAGGCAGCAUACCGGAGCGCAACUGACGCUCAUGCACGAAAGUGUGGGUAUCGAACAGGAUUAGAUACCCCUGUAGUC